UGGGGAAUAUUGCACAAUGGGGGAAACCCUGAUGCAGCGACGCCGCGUGGAGGAAGAAGGCCUUCGGGUUGUAAACUCCUGUCGUAAGGGACGAUAAUGACGGUACCUUACAAGAAAGCCACGGCUAACUACGUGCCAGCAGCCGCGGUAAAACGUAGGUGGCAAGCGUUGUCCGGAAUUACUGGGUGUAAAGGGAGCGCAGGCGGGUCUGCAAGUUGGAAGUGAAACUCAUGGGCUCAACCCAUGAACUGCUUUCAAAACUGCGGAUCUUGAGUGGUGUAGAGGUAGGCGGAAUUCCCGGUGUAGCGGUGGAAUGCGUAGAUAUCGGGAGGAACACCAGUGGCGAAGGCGGCCUACUGGGCACUAACUGACGCUGAGGCUCGAAAGCAUGGGUA
rnacentral:rRNA from 1 species